rnacentral:rRNA from 1 species
UAAGGAAUAUUGGUCAAUGGGCGGAAGCCUGAACCAGCCAUGCCGCGUGGAGGAUGAAGGCGUUUUGCGUUGUAAACUUCUUUGGUCGGAGACGAAACCCUUCCCUGCGGGGGAGGCUGACGCUAUCCGAAGAACAAGCACCGGCUAACUCCGUGCCAGCAGCCGCGGUAAUACGGAGGGUGCAAGCGUUAUCCGGAUUCACUGGGUUUAAAGGGAGCGCAGGCGGUCUUGUAAGUCAGAGGUGAAAGCCCGGCGCUUAACGUCGGAACUGCCUCUGAUACUGCAUGACUUGAGUACGAAUGAGGUAGGCGGAAUGCGUCAUGUAGCGGUGAAAUGCAUAGAGAUGACGUAGAACACCGAUUGCGAAGGCAGCUUACUAAUUCGGCACUGACGCUGAGGC